UCCUCCUCAGUGAGCUCUUAAUCUAUUGGAACUACUGGGGAAAAAGCAGACAUACUCUCCUGGCUCUUCCUCUCCCAAGGAGAAAAGAGAAAUCAGAAGCUUCUCCCUCCGCCCCCACAGUUUGCUGUCCGUGAGCCAACAUUCCCACAUGUCUGCUACAACGAAAGCAAAACCUUCAAAGUCUGUGGCAGUCACGUGUCACGUCCUGCAGUCCGCGGGGCUGAGAAAACCACACGGUCCCAGGGACAGAAGGACUUAGAAGAGUCAUCUUUAUCCCCGGUCCCCAGUGCUAAGAGACCUUGAAAAACACACAGAGGCAAACCAAAACUGUGAGCAAAAGCACCAGAAAGUUAGCCACAGCGUUUUACGGGCAGCGAAUUCAGAGACAGGAAGGAACCGGCUGCCUCAGACCGUCAUUUUCUUUGUCUGGAGUGAGACUUGUCAAGAAUAUGGUCACCUUUCGAGAGAGGGUCACCAGAUUAGAGAUUUCGAAGGUGAUGCUAUCAGAAUCCACCCUGCGGAAUCAUCAUUAUCACUGUCCAUGUGGAGGGAAGCAGAGCUCAGUUUCAGUGUCAAUGGGAUCUGUGAUUCCUGGGGCUGGGUGUGAUCUUGCUGAGUCUUAUCACAGCAGAGCAGAUCUGGAACCAUACAGGGUGGAGGGGCCGUGUGACAGAGGGAGC